CGCAACGGGAGGAGCGUGCGGUUUAAUUGGAUUCAACACCGGAAAACUCACCAAGGGAGACCAUCACAUGAAAGCCAGGCUAAUGACUUUGCUUGAUUCUUGGAGAAGUGGUGCAUGGCCAUCGUCAGUUCGUACUGUAAAGCGUUCUCUUAAGUGAGAUAACGAACAAGACCCUCACUUAUAAUUGCUAACUAGAUCUCCGGAUCUGGUGCACAUUAUCGGGACCGCUGGCGCUAAGUCAGAGGAAGGAGAGGUCAACGGUAGGUCAGUAUGCCCUGAAUCUCUUGGGCUACACGCGCGCUACAAAGGGCGGGACAAUGAGUUCCGACACCGAAAGGUGAAGGUAAUCUCCAAACCCGUCCGUAGUUCGGACUGAGGGUUGUAACUCACCCUCACGAAGCUGGAUUCCGUAGUAAUCGCGAAUCAAAAACUCGCGGUGAAUAUGCCCCUGCUCCUUGCACACACCGCCCGUCAAACCACCCGAGUCGGGUUUCAGUGAGGCUGCCUUUUAUUGGGGUAUUCGAGCUGAGAUUCAGCAAGGGAGGUUAAGUCGUAACAAGGUAUCUGUAGGGGAACCUGCAGAUG
rnacentral:rRNA from 1 species